GAUGAACGCUGGCGGCGUGCCUAAUACAUGCAAGUCGAGCGAACAGACGAGGAGCUUGCUCCUCUGACGUUAGCGGCGGACGGGUGAGUAACACGUGGAUAACCUACCUAUAAGACUGGGAUAACUUCGGGAAACCGGAGCUAAUACCGGAUAAUAUAUUUAACCGCAUGGUUCAAUAGUGAAAGACGGUUUUGCUGUCACUUAUAGAUGUAUCCGCGCCGCAUUAGCUAGUUGGUAAGGUAACGGCUUACCAAGGCAACGAUGCGUAGCCGACCUGAGAGGGUGAGCGGCCACACUGGAACUGAGACACGGUCCAGACUCCUACGGGAGGCAGCAGUAGGGAAUCUUCCGCAAUGGGCGAAAGCCUGACGGAGCAACGCCGCGUGAGUGAUGAAGGUCUUCGGAUCGUAAAACUCUGUUAUUAGGGAAGAACAAAUGUGUAAGUAACUAUGCACGUCUUGACGGUACCUAAUCAGAAAGCCACGGCUAACUACGUG
rnacentral:rRNA from 1 species